rnacentral:rRNA from 1 species
AGUGAACGCUGGCGGUAGGCCUAACACAUGCAAGUCGAACGGCAGCACAGUAAGAGCUUGCUCUUACGGGUGGCGAGUGGCGGACGGGUGAGGAAUACAUCGGAAUCUACUUUUUCGUGGGGGAUAACGUAGGGAAACUUACGCUAAUGCCGCAUACGACCUACGGGUGAAAGCAGGGGAUCUUCGGACCUUGCGCGAUUGAAUGAGCCGAUGUCGGAUUAGCUAGUUGGCGAGGUAAAGGCCCACCAAGGCGACGAUGCGUAGCUGGUCUGAGAGGAUGAUGGGCCAAACGGGGACUGAGACACGGUAAAGACUCCUACGGGAGGCAGCAGUAGGGAAUCUUCCGCAAUGGGCGAAAGCCUGACGGAGCAACGCCGCGUGAGUGAUGAAGGUCUUCGGAUCGUAAAACUAUGUUAGUAGGGAAGAAAAUAUGUGGAAGUAGCUGUGCACAUCUUGACGGUAGCGAAUAAGAAAGCCACGGCUAACUACGUG